CGUGGACUGUACACGAGUGAGAAUGCCGGAAUGAGUAGCGAGAAUUAUGUGGGAAUCAUAAUGGCCGAAAAUCUAAGGUUUCUUGGGGAAGGUUCGUCCGCCCAAGGUAAGCCGGGAGCUAAGGCGAGGCCGCAAGGCGUAGUCAAUGCACAUACGGUAAAGAUUCCGUAGCCGCCGAACUUUAAGUCAGAGGGACACUUGCAGAUAGCGGAACCCAGCCGUUGGUUGAGCUGGGCAUAAGGGACUGAAUUUAGUAGGGAAGUCCGCGAUGCUGAAAGGCGAGAAAAGCUCUGAUGGAUACUAAGGCGCCCGUACCGCAAACCGACACAGGUAGAUGAGGAGAGAAUCCUAAGGCCAAGGGGAGAAGGGUUGUUAAGGAACUCGGCAAAUUGACCCCGUAACUUCGGAAGAAGGGGAGCCCCGAAAGGGGCCGCAGUGAAUAGGCCCAAGCAACUGUUUACCAAAAACACAGGUUUAUGCUAAAUCGAAAGAUGACGUAUAUGAGCUGACGCCUGCCCGGUGCCGGAAGGUUAAGAGGAGAGCUUAGAGCAAUCGAAGGUUUGAAUUGAAGCCCCGGUAAACGGCGGCCGUAACGAUAACGGUCCUAAGGUAGCGAAAUUCCUUGUCAGGUAAGUUCUGACCCGCACGAAUGGCGUAAUGAUUUGGGCACUGUCUCGACAGCCCGCCCGGCGAAAUUGUAGUACUGGUGAAGAUGCCAGUUACCCGCAACUAGACGGAAAGACCCCAUGGAGCUUUACUGCAGUUUAAUACUGGGAAUCGGUAAUGCAUGUACAGGAUAGGUGGGAGACUAGGAAGCAUGGUCGUCAGGUCAUGUGGAGUCACCGGUGGGAUUCCACUCUUGUAUUGCUGAUUUCCUAACCUGCGGCCGUGAAUCCGGUCGGGGGACACUGUUAGACGGGCAGUUUGACUGGGGCGGUCGCCUCCAAAAGAGUAACGGAGGCGCUCAAAGGUUCGUUCAGCACGGACGGAAAUCGUGCAUUGAGUGUAAACGCAUAAGCGAGCCUAACUGCGAGACCGACGGGUCGAGCAGUAACGAAAGUUGGAGUUAGUGAUCCGGUGGUAUGUGAGUGGAAAUGCCAUCGCUCAACGGAUAAAAGCUACCCUGGGAUAACAGGCUGAUCUCCCCCAAGCGUCCACAGCGACGGGGAGGUUUGGCACCUCGAUGUCGGCUCGUCGCAUCCUGGGGCUGUAUUCGGUCCCAAGGGUUUGGCUGUUCGCCAAUUAAAGCGGCACGCGAGCUGGGUUCAGAACGUCGUGAGACAGUUCGGUCCCUAUCUGUUGCGGGCGUAAGAGAUUUGAAGGGAGCUGUCCUUAGUACGAGAGGACCGGGAUGGACGUACCUCUGGUGCACCAGUUGUCCUGCCAAGGGCAUAGCUGGGUAGCUAUGUACGGACGAGAUAAACGCUGAAAGCAUCUAAGCGUGAAACUCCCCCUAAGAUGAGAUCUCUCAUCCAUUAUGGAGUAAGGGCCCAGAAAGACGAUCUGGUUGAUAGGCCGGAGGUGGAAGUGCAGUAAUGUAUGGAGCUGACCGGUACUAAUAGCCCGAGGGCUUGAUC
rnacentral:rRNA from 1 species